GUAUCCUGGCUCAGGAUGAACGCUAGCUACAGGCUUAACACAUGCAAGUCGAGGGCAGCAUGGUCUUAGCUUGCUAGGGCUGAUGGCGACCGGCGCACGGGUGAGUAACACGUAUCCAACCUGCCGUCUACGUCUUGGCCAGCCUUCUGAAAGGAAGAUUAAUCCAGGAUGGGAUCAGUGAGUUCACAUGUCCGCAUGAUUAAAGGUAUUUUCCGGUAGACGAUGGGG
rnacentral:rRNA from 1 species